ensembl:lncRNA
CAGAGCUUAUUGCUCUCUACAUCUUCCUGAACAGAGGUUGUGGUGAGGUGGGGGUUGGCCUCUUCUCCCAGGUAACAGCGACAGGACGAGAGGUAACGGCCUGAAGUUGCACCAUUGGACACUCAGGUGCCCACACCUGGUCCCAUGGAUGAAGCCCUUCUAAAAGCAUCUCUGAAUCGCAAGCGUGAAGAAGACCAUAUCUCAUCCUACAAGAGCAUAUGGAGUUCAGCACUAAGGAAGUGAAAUGUGCGCUUUUCACUAUUCACAGAUAGGUACGAGCGCCUAGAAUCUGCAUGGUCAAGAAGCACACCACUGCAUACUGCUCAUUUUCCAGCUUCUUAACUUUGAAG